rnacentral:tRNA from 1 species
AGCUCAGUCAGUGGAGCAUGAGACUCUUAAUCUCAGGAUUGUGGGUUCAAGCCUGC